AUUGAACGCUGGCGGCAUGCUUUACACAUGCAAGUCGAACGGCAGCGCGGGCUUCGGCCUGGCGGCGAGUGGCGAACGGGUGAGUAUUGCAUCGGAACGUGCCCAGUAGUGGGGGAUAGCCCGGCGAAAGCCGGAUUAAUACCGCAUACGACCUGAGGGUGAAAGCGGGGGACCGAAGGGCCUCGCGCUAUUGGAGCGGCCGAUGUCGGAUUAGCUAGUUGGUGGGGUAAAGGCUUACCAAGGCGACGAUCCGUAGCUGGUCUGAGAGGACGACCAGCCACACUGGGACUGAGACACGGCCCAGACUCCUACGGGAGGCAGCAGUGGGGAAUUUUGGACAAUGGGGGCAACCCUGAUCCAGCCAUGCCGCGUGCGGGAAGAAGGCCUUCGGGUUGUAAACCGCUUUUGUUCGGGAAGAAAUCCUCUGGGCUAAUACCCCGGGGGGAUGACGGUACCGGAAGAAUAAGCACCGGCUAACUACGUG
rnacentral:rRNA from 1 species